AUGGCAGGCACAGGUUUGGUGGCUGGAGAGGUUGAGGUGGAUGCACUGCCAUAUUUUGAUCAAGGUUAUGAAGCCUCUGGUGUGCAGGAAGCAGCUGCAGUGCUGGUGGAGAAGUAAACUCGCAGAUACCAACCUACUAUGAACUACCUGAGAUACCUGACAGUCCUGGAUUAUUCUGCUUUUGAAACUGACAUGAUGAGAAAUGAAUUUGAGAGACUGGCUGCUCGACAACCAACUGAAUUGCUCAGUAUGAAACGAUAUGAACUUCCAGCCCCUUCCUCUGGUCAAAAAAAUGGCAUUACUGCAUGGCAAGAAUGUGUAAACAAUUCUAUGGCCUAGUUAGAGCAUCAAGCAGUUACAACUGAGAAUCUGAAACUAAUGUCACAGCAUGGAUGUAAUGCCUGGAAAGUAUACAAUGAAAAUCUAGUUCAUAUGAUUGAACAUGCACAGAAAGAACUUCAGAAGUUAAGAAAACAUAUUCAAGAUUUAAACUGGCAGAGAAAGAACAUGCAACUCACAGCUGGAUCUAAAUUGAGAGAAAUGGAGUCAAAUUGGAUAUCUGUAGUAAGAAUUAUGAGACUGAACGGACUAUUUUUCAACUAGAAAAUGAAAUCUAUCAAAUUAAACAGCAACAUGGAAAGGCAAACAAAGAAAACAUCCGGCAAGACUUCUGA
rnacentral:lncRNA from 1 species